UCCUCUGUAGUUCAGUCGGUAGAACGGCGGACUGUUAAUCCGUAUGUCACUGGUUCGAGCCCAGUCAGAGGAGGCA
rnacentral:tRNA from 1 species